ensembl:lncRNA RASSF8-AS1 RASSF8 antisense RNA 1
AGCCGCCGCUCCUCCGCGCCCCGCCCGCGCCUGGCCCGCUCGCCGGCGCCGGGAGAGACCUCGUAACGGAACUGGGACGCCAGCGCUGCAUUGUGGGAGCUUUUAAAGCGGCGGGGAGCUCGGCGCGACCCUCGGGCCCACCGGGCCACGCUCGCCCGGCCCGCGACGCCCCCCCGCUGUCGCCUGGCCCGCGACGCACCGAGGCCUGAGGACCCGAAAGCCGGGCGCGGGGAGAUGACCGGUGGCUCGUGACGGUCCCACGGGCAAAAUCUUCCAUCGCCCGGGGCUGAGACUUGUCAAACUGCCCUCUACGGUCACCCGGAAAGUAGGAGGCUUUUUCUGCAGAGGGGAAAAAAAUCAAAAAGAGCCGUUCCAUCCCCCCUCCAAGGACUGGGUUUGAAUUGCUUUUCAUCUGCAGUGGCUGUGAUUCAGCGUCCCUCUUAGCAGCAGGCAAUGACAGAGGCAGGAGAGGGGAAAAAAAAAAAGAAAGAAAGAAAAAACACAGCAAAUGAAUCAAACGGACGUAGCAGGCAAGAGUGUGGUUAUCGUUGGACCAGGAUUCAGGAUCUGACUGAGUAGCUGACUCUUAAUCCAGUUUGUGUUGAUCACCAGGAGGAUCUGGACCUCAGUAUUACCACAUCUAGAGCUAUAAUCACAUCCCUGUUAAGCCUUCCUGAGAUCACACCAAAUGUCCUUGAUGGGAAUUGUAAACAACCCUUACUUCUGGUUUCUAAUGAUAUUCCAGGAAAGGAGCCUAACUAGAGUCAGUGAUAUGCCAACUCCACCUUUGCCUUCCACCAUGUUUGGAAGCUCCCUGAGGCCUCACCAGGAGCAGAUGCUCGUCCCAUGCUUCCUAUAAGCCUGCAGAACUGUGAGCCAUAAUAAACUGUGAAUUAUAAAUUGCCUUUAUAGCAAUGCAAAUGGACCAGUACAGAUGGGAUGCUGGGAAGACAGUUGUUUCCACCUUCAGUAAAGUCCGUGGAACACAGUUGUGACUAUAUUCUAGGCCAGCCAAGAUGCUUGUACUCAGAAAGGAGUGGUCUCAGGACCAUAAGAAAGUGAAAAAAUAAAAAUAAGAAAAUAAAGAAGGGAUUGUCAAUGAAUCAGAAUUCAUCAAGGUCAAAGUCUUAGGAAAUUCCUUCAUGAGGAAGUCUAGGGGGGCUAUGGAAAUGAAAUUUUUAAACAAAUAGGUAUGUGGUGCUGGCAGGAAUAAAUUAUGGACUUAUGAAUAUAACAUAAGAUUCUUUAUUACCUGGUCUCACCCGUCUUUCCACCUCUGCCCCCCUUCUUGCCCGACUCUGUGUAUCACCCAUAAUAAACUACUUACAGCUUCCUAGUGUUAAAUUUACCCUAAAGCUGCCUCCUUCAAUAUUUUAAGUUUAACCUAAAGGUUCUUCAUACAUAGUGAACUAUAACCCAAUGAUUAAACAGAUUGUAACCUACUCUUGUACCAGUCACCAAGUUUCAGCCAAUCAGAGGUGGCCAACUGUUCAAACCAUGCUCAAAUAAGGGAAAUGUCAUGGUGUAACUAAUCCAGCUGUUUCUAUACCUUACUUCUGUUUUCUUAGGUCACUUUCCUUUUUUGUCCAUAAAUUCUCUCCAACCACUCAGCAGCACUGGAGUCACUCCAAAGCUAUCCUGGUUCAGGGGUCUGUCUGAUUCACAAGUCAUUCUUUGUUCAAUUGAGCUCUGCUAAAUUUAAUUUGUCUGAAGUUUUUCUUUUAACAGAUGGUGUCAGAAAUGGACCCCAAAGUAGAGCUCCCAGUGAUCCCCCAGGAGCACUGAGUGACCACAAGGGGUACCUGCUGGGCCCGUCCUCUCGCAGUGUCCACUGCUCUCUUACAGCAACUGGAGAUUGUGGCUGCAUUCUCUCUCAGAUUCUGAAGCUCCAUACAUUGCCGUUUUCAGCUGUUCAAGCUUGCUUGAGCAAAUUUUUGAUCUUAGCUGAGUUUGGAAGUCGAUAGACAUUGGACUGGGUCCAGGAUUUGAUUGGAUCUGAUAAUUAACUGGCUUGGAUCCAGUUAGAUGCCUCGGUUAUCUGACUGGGUCAGAUAGAAACCGCCAGUAAAUAUUUUAAUAACAAUACUGCAGGGGUAUGAACUCUGGCUUUAAGAAACUCACAAGGAAUUUUAUGUUCUAUACCCUUUGUUUCUUUUUCUUGUGUGCUUCGGUCAGGAAAAAUCAUUAGUCAAGUUAAUCAAGGGGAUCUGAGAGCCAAAUACAAGAUUCAACGUAAAAAUGGAAUCCUUGGGCUAGGCGUGGUGGCUCAGGCCUGUAAUCCCAGGACUUUGGGAGGCUGAGGCAGGCGGAUCACCUGACCUUAGGAGUUCGAGACCAGUCUGGCCAACAUGGUGAAACCCCGUCUCCACUAAAAAUACAAAAAUUAGCCAGGCGUGGUGGUGGGCACCUGUAAUCCCAGCUACUUUGGAGGCUGAGGCAGGAUAAUCACUUGAACCCAGGAGGCAGAGGUUGCAGUGAUCUGAGAUUGCACCACUGCACUCCAGCCUGGGCAAAAGAGCGAGACUCCAUCUCAUAAAUAAAUACAUAAAUAAAUAAAGAAAUCCUUAAUUUCUGCGGAACUGAGUGCUCUACCUUCUGGCUACACCUACGUAUACCUGUAUGAGGUAUAGGCCCUGGAAGCAGCAAACACUUACAGAAAUGGUGAAAUCUUACUAAAGGUAAUCUAAAGUUAUGGUGGAACAUCCCAAAUGAACAACACUGCACUUUAGGAAGUACAUAUAAAAAUGAAGUCUCCCAAUUUAGUAUUAUUCAGGGAUGGCUGUUGAAGUUCAGAAGCUUCUAAAAAGAUUCCAAUAAUUUUACAGAUUCUUUUAAAAGAUUCUUUGUAAAAGGCAAAUAAAAAGCUUAAGUGACUAAUCAGAAAAAUUAGGUCUUCUAACCUUUUGUCAUUGUUACUGUCUUGCCCUGAAAGGGAAAAGAAAGCUGGAUAAAGUAUUUAUAGAAGAUAGAGGACCUGUGGUGGCUCAUGCCUGUAAUCCAAGGUGGAAGGAUUGCUUGAGGCCAGAAGUUCAAGACCAGUCCAAGCAACAUAGCAAGGCCCCAUCUCUACAAAAAAUGAAAAUAAAAUUAGCCGAGCGUGAUGGCUCAUGCCUGUAGUUCUAGCUUCUAGAGAGGCUGAGGCAGGAGGAUUGCUUGAGUCCAGGAGUUCAAGAUUACAGUGAGCUAUGGUCACACCACUGCACUCCAGCCUGGGUGAUGGAGUGAGACUGUCUCAAUAAAAAGACAAAAAGGUAAGCCCUUAGGUAAAGUAAGCUUGCUUCUUUGUUAGAGCUAUCCAUGCUGAGUCCAGGCAAAGAAAAUGCUUUCUUUGGCCUGGUGCGGUGGCUCAUGCCUGUAAUCCCAACACUUUUGGAGGCCAAGGUGGGCAGAUCACAAGGUCAAGAGUUCAAGAUGAGCCUGACCAACAUGGUGAAGCCCCAUCUCUACUAAAAAUACAAAAAUUAGCCAGGUGUGGUGGUGCGCACCUGUAAUCCCAGCUAUUCAGGAGGCUGAGGCAAGAGAAUCACUUGAACCCAGGAGGCAGAGGUUGCAGUGAGCUG